rnacentral:rRNA from 1 species
AGAGUUUGAUCAUGGCUCAGAACGAACGCUGGCGGCGUGGAUAAGACAUGCAAGUCGAACGCUAAUUUCAGGGUAGCAAUAUUCUGAAGUUGGAGUGGCGCAAGGGUGCGUAACACGUGGGUAAUUUGCCGUGAAGUUGGGAAUAACUCGCUGAAAGGCGAGCUAAUGCCGAAUGUGAUAAUUGGGUGGCAUCAUCUGAUUAUUAAAGUUGGGGACCGUAAGGCCUGACGCUUCACGAUAAGCCCGCGGCCUAUCAGCUAGUUGGUGAGGUAACGGCUCACCAAGGCUAAGACGGGUAGCUGGUCUGAGAGGACGACCAGUCACACUGGAACUGAGACACGGUCCAGACACCUACGGGUGGCAGCAGUCGAGAAUUUUUCUCAAUGGGCGAAAGCCUGAAGGAGUGACGCCGCGUGGGGGAUGAAGGGCUUCGGCUCGUAAACCCCUGUCAUUUGCGAACAAACCUUACGAUCUAAUAAGUCGUGAGCUGAUUGUAGCGAAAGAGGAAGGGACGGCUAACUCUGUGCCAGCCGCCGCGGUAAUAC